GAUUACGCAUCUCACGAGUGACACACACACACACACGCUAAAGUUCACACGCAACGCUCAGCAGUCUCCACCACCACCACGCUCCAGACCGCCCCAGCCUUUCCCUCUCGCCUCCCUUGCAACCUCUGCUCAAUCACAGACGUUGUCGCUGCCGCGCGCCCCUCCCUACCCCUUUCUCCUCCUCGCCCAGUCACGUACGAGGCCACACAGGUUGGCGAACUCAUACACACACACACAGGGACCGUUACGCCCCCACAGCCUACGUCCGCCGACCCCCACCCCUUCGUCUCUUUUCUAAUACCCCAGACACCAGACACACACACGCAUACGUGCAUAUAUCUAGUGAGAGAGAUACAUGUUAUACCGGCCGGCUUAUUUUACUCGUCUACCUCUCGCCCUCUGUCUCUUCGUUUAUAUAUAUAUAUAUAUAUUUCUGGGCGAACGCACGCGCAUACGCACACAGCUGACGCUUCUCCGCACCUCGCUCCCUCGCUGCUGUGCGUGCCUGUGUGAUCGGCCCCGCCUGUGAGAGCUCAUUGUACGCGUUCUCCUGCUUUUAUUCCUGUUGUCUCGCCACGCCCGCCUGGCGUGGCUCCGUCCGUGGGUGUUCGUGUAUUUGGCCUCGACACUUCCUCCCUCUCCGCCAUACCGAGUUAAACCCCUCUUGCCUCCCUUCGUCAUUGAUUAGUCACCGCGAUGGAGUCCACCAAUGUGGGUGAUGCGUACGCGGAAGACCGGUCUUCGAACGGCGCGGAGGGGAAUAGGACGAUGGACACCUGCCGAGGGUCGUCGCUGUGCUCGCAGCUCAGCAGCGACGAUCACGGCGAGGACGUCCACGCGCAGCGCAGCGACCGCCUGGCUGUUACUUCCAGCAGUAGUAGCGGCACCACCUUUGCGGAUGACGAGGGCGACGCUCAUGUGAGUCGUCGUGCACUCCGCAGCCGCGUCGGCAAGGCUGGGAGCGCUGCCGAUGACGCCGCUGGUCCAUCCCCUGUGGACGCGGACGACGACGAAGAGGCCGAAACGGUGCCAACAGCAGUGGGGCUCAUCAACGAGGGCUGUACCUGCUACCUGAACUCACUGCUGCAGCUGCUCUUCCACAUCAGCUACUUCCGCACCGCCGUCUACCGCAUCCCUGUCGAAGGCGACGACGGGCCGUCAGUGUACAAGGCCCUGCAGGAGACCUUCUUCCAGAUGCAGGAGCGCACCACGCCGGCGCGCACCACUGUGCUGACCAACGCCUUUGGCUGGGGCCGCAAGGAACUGUACGUGCAGCACGACAUCCAGGAGAUGGCGACUCUGCUGCGCGACAACUUGGAGGAGCGGAUGAAAGGCACCGUGACGGAGGGCGCCAUCAACCAACUGUUCGAGGGGCGUGGCGAGCAGUUCGUGGAGACGCUAGACAAGUCGUACGUCUCGCGCCGCGCCGACACCUACUAUGACGUGCACAUCCCUCUUGGCCAGCACAGCACACUGCUAGGCAGUCUGACCUCACUCACCGCGCGCGAUAAGCUCGUCGGCGAGAACAAGUACCGUGUGGAGCGGGAGGGGAUGCCGGUGGUGUACAUGGAUGCCGAGAAGGGCUACAGCUACACUCGCUUCCCUGCCGUGACCUGGUUCCAUCUGAAGCGCUUCGCCAUGGACUUGACUUCUCCGACAUUGGAGAUGCGGAAGGUGAAUACGCCGCUGGAGUUCCCUGUCGUCCUCGACCUUCGUUCCCUGGAGAAGCCGGACGCCGCAGCAGCUAGCGGUGGCGUAGGUGCUGGAAGCAAGUUGGGCUCCGCGGUUGUUCCUUUCAGCAGCGACUCGCCCGCCAUCUACGACCUGCAAGGGGUGAUCGUGCACCGCGGCACGGCCCGCAGUGGCCACUACUACUGCUACAUCCGGGAGUGGGACCCGGUGGGGCAGCGCUUCUGUCGUUGGCUCGAGUACGACGACGAGAACGUGCGUCAGGUGCCGGAGGACGUGGCGGUGCGCGCCAACUACGGCCGCGGCGCCGGCUCGGUCGACAGCUUCCGCCACGACGCGUCGCUCAUGGGAGGGGCGAACGCGUACAUCCUCUCCUACGUGCGCCGCGCCGACGCGGCGGCGAUUCUCGCGCCGUCGCCGACCGACAUCGUAUCCGACCGUGUCAAGGAGGCGAUGCGGCGUGCCAUCCAGGAAGAAGAGCGACAGCUGCGCGAGGCCGAGGAGGCCCGGUUGUCCGUCACGAUGUACUGCAUCACUGAUGCUGCCCUCAGCAAGUACUGUGACUCCGUGUGCAGCACCGAACUCUUCUCCCGCGAUAUUCAGCAGUGGCGCCGGUUCGCCGACUGCGUCAUAACAGCUCGCAAGUCAGAUACGCUAGCGGCGGUGUACGAGGCGCUGGCCGCGCAGCCGGAGAUGGCACGGCAGGGCGUGACGGCUUUCAACUGUCGCCUGUGGCGGUGCAGCGAUGGAUCGGCGCUGCGGCCGUCCAUCGCUCUUCCGACAUACGCAGAAAACAUGGAGCACAAGGGCGUCGCUCCUCAGCAGCCGCAGGAGUGCCUGAAGGAUUUCCUCACCCCGGAGGAGAACACCACCGCGCUGACGAUGUGCCUCUACGUCGACCAGGCGAAGGUGCCCUUGCCAGGGCUGCACGGCGUGACGAAGGAGUGCGGCCUGAUCCGCAGCAUCCAGCAGGACGACACCGGCCGCUGCUACACGGUGGAGAUGUCGAGCCCGACAGAGGCGAAGGCACUGCACAUCACCCUCGACCACUCCGACUACGCCGCCACAGUCGAGUACGUCGUCACGACCGACAAGGAAACGCUUCCUGUUGCGAUGGCUGCCGUCACUGACGGCUGCAACACUGUUGCCCUGUUGCUGAGCGAGUCGCGGCGGACGAUGUCGGUGAUGCUGACAUGCUACAUGCCAAACAAGCGGGCGGUGACCGUGCGCAACGUGCACCUCGAGCUCCCGUUCGGGCACCCCCUCCUGCAGCCGGCCCCUGCGGCAUCGACCGUCGCGCUACCGGUGCUGCCCGUCGUUGGCUAUGACCGCGCCCUCAUCUUCUUCAAGUACUACGACUACUCCGCCAACACUAUCCAGUACGUUGGCAGUCGGCUCAUCGACAAGGCAGCCAAGACGUACUGUUGCGGCGCCGUGUACCGCGACUUUCUCGGCCUAUCGGACGACGCGGCGCCAUCCUCAUCCGACGCCCCAGUAGCAAGGCCGCAGCCGCCACCGCCGUCGAUGUUCCGCUUCUUCCUCGAGCGUGGCGAUCACACGCCGGUCGAGCUCAACGAGCACCUCGACUUGGGUGACUUCAAGUCCGGCUGCGUAGUGGUGGCGCAGCUGCGAGCGAUCCCCGCCUCUUAUCGCUACCUAUCUAUUCUCAACUACUACCGCGACACGCGCAACAGCCUCGACGUACACAUCAUCGAGGUGGAGCGCAGCCACCGAGCAAACGACGACGCGUACCGGCAGACAACACUGGAGCGGCAGCGCUGCGCCGUGGCGGCGGCGGCGGCGGCGUCGUCGUCCUCUGCAGCGAAGAAGGAGCGAACGUCGACAGGCGGUGCCGCUGAUGUCGCGCCGACAACCUCGCCUCUGCACUCGGCGGUGCCUGGCGGGGAGUCCGAGGGGGCCGCCGACGCCUCCACCACUGGCGUGCCGCAGCAGGGAGACUCGACAGCGCUGAUCAACAGCUCCGAGUCCGUGGCGUCGGAUGCGAAGAAGAAGACACCGAGCACCGGCAGCACUGGCGACGGCAUCGUCACAGCAAGCACGUCCACGACGUGUGGCGUCACGAGCAGUGUGAGUCCAACGCCGACGCUGGCCAUGGAUACCACUGGCAGCAGCGCCACCGCUGUGGCGAACGCAGCGGUGGAGGCCGACCCGAUUCGCAUCGCCGCCACGCUGAACCCGUACGAGGCGGUGCAGCUCUCCACGCUACACGAGAUUUCCGUGGCGACGCUGCCUACGGAGCACUCGUGUCGCAUGCUCUUUAGCUGGAAUUACGAGGCCGUGUGCGCCGCCAUCGGUCGCACCAUCGCCUUCGACCCGAAUCGUCUGCAGUUGUACCAGUGCUGCAGCACUGGUGAGCCGGCGCCAGAGGUGUCGCCGACGCCGUACAGCAGCCGACUUACCGUGGCCGACCUGCUCUACCUGGACUCGUACAAUAAGACCUCAGUGUUGUACUACGAGCGACUGGCUGAAGCCCGCGAGCAGCACCAGAACGUUGGCGUCGUCACCGCCACGCUGCGGGACCACGCGGGCCACGCACUGCACCGCGAAACCUACAGCGUCGACCUCGCCAGCAUCACCCGCCAGGGCCUCGUGCGGCGCAUUUGCGAGUCUGUGCCGGCGUGGCAGCGCGAGGCGGACGUGUGGGGCACCAUGCAGGACACCCUUCAGUCACCGCACUUCACGCUGAGCUUCGUGGACUCAGCCAGGCACGUCAUCGCGGCGAUGCACGAGGUGGCCAUGUCCAAGACCGGCGCCGAGGAGUCCGCGCUGGAGGCGUCGGCGCUGCGCAAGUUCGAGGUGGAUAUUCAAGCGGCGGCGCCGCUCCAGGGCACGGAGCAGCGGAUCGCGUGCUGCCACAUGAACUACUCGACGCACGACCGCAGCACGUUACUGGGACUGCAGCAGCAGCGCAGCGCUUUCGGGCAGCCGUUCCUCAUCACAAUCGACCGCACCACGACGGUGCGCGAGGCACUCGACAUAAUGCUGCAGACGACCUAUCUACCCAAGGAUGCGCUGAACAACGCCGAGGGCUUUGGGGUGAUGAUGGUGGCGGGGCAAGUAUACCACUUCGAGAACUGGGAGGAGCACGUGCACCUGUUCUGGGUGCACACCAAGAACACGUCCCAGUACGUCGCCAGCCUAAUGCUGAACCAUGCCAAGCCGCGCGAGAAGCCAGGUUCUCGCUACGUUGCCCAGCACAGCCCGCAGCUGAAGAUCUCUAAUAAGUAGUGCCCCAACCCCUCCUCCCACUCCCACCUCCCCCCACCGCACCCUGUCCAUCGGCGUAGGCGAGGGGUGGUGUGUUCCUGUGCUCCCCUCCGCCGUGUCUUGGGUGCGUAUGCGUCCUCUUGCAUCCCUCACCUUUGCUUCACCUGUGCUGUCCUUUUACUGCCACUCUCCCACGUCGUUAUCGCUGCUGCUGUGCUGCGUUGCGAGAAGGCGCACACGCACCACACACACGUGUGCGUUUGUGUGUCUGUGUGGCUUCGCUCUCUCCCCCUUCUGUGCUACCCCUCCUCCUCUUCUCCUGCCUUAGAUGUGGUGUUGUUCGCGUUGGCCAUCAGCAGUGUCGCCUGCUUCAGUGAAAAAGCAACCCUGUUUUUCGUGUGGAGGAAAGGGGUGAGGACGAGGGGACGCUCAACGGGCUAUUCAUUUCUGUUCGGGUGUGUAUGUGUGUGUGUGUGUGUGUGUCGUCGUCGUCGUCGAUGUUGCCGUCGGUGUAUGCGUUUCCUCCACUCCUCCGGUAGGCACACAGGCAGACGCGCAUGGUUAGGCGGCGAAGCUGAUGUCCGUUGCACCGAUCGACUUCACGUUGCUGCUCCUCUCCUCCUCUCUGGACUGGCUGCCAAUGAUGAGCGGGCGCUCUAGCUCUCCUGAACCCUCGUCGUGUUCGCGUUGAUGUUCUCAUUCUCGUGCGUUUCACGCACGGCUCCUGUGUUUGAAUGCACCUUUCCUCUUUCUGCCUCCCUCUGCCCACGCGACUUGCAUCGGUAGCCCUUCCCUCCUUCACCACCACCGCUGCCCCUCGCACACGCCCAGCAUCGUCCCCGCAGAUGCGCAGCGCCGCUGUUAGGAUCGUGAAGGAAAACAAAAAG
rnacentral:misc_RNA from 1 species